UACGAAGGGGGCUAGCGUUGUUCGGAUUUACUGGGCGUAAAGCGCACGUAGGCGGAUCUUUAAGUCAGAGGUGAAAUCCCAAGGCUCAACCUUGGAACUGCCUUUGAUACUGAGGAUCUCGAGUCCGGGAGAGGUGAGUGGAACUGCGAGUGUAGAGGUGAAAUUCGUAGAUAUUCGCAAGAACACCAGUGGCGAGGGCGGCUCACUGGCCCGGUACUGACGCUGAGGUGCGAAAGCGUGGGGAGCAAACAGG
rnacentral:rRNA from 1 species